CAAUACUAGCAGUAGGGAAUCUUCCACAAUGGACGCAAGUCUGAUGGAGCAACGCCGCGUGAGUGAAGAAGGUCUUCGGAUCGUAAAACUCUGUUGUUAGAGAAGAACACGAGUGAGAGUAACUGUUCAUUCGAUGACGGUAUCUAACCAGCAAGUCACGGCUAACUACGUGCCAGCAGCCGCGGUAAUACGUAGGUGGCAAGCGUUGUCCGGAUUUAUUGGGCGUAAAGGGAACGCAGGCGGUCUUUUAAGUCUGAUGUGAAAGCCUUCGGCUUAACCGGAGUAGUGCAUUGGAAACUGGAAGACUUGAGUGCAGAAGAGGAGAGUGGAACUCCAUGUGUAGCGGUGAAAUAGUAUU
rnacentral:rRNA from 1 species